rnacentral:rRNA from 1 species
AUUGAACGCUGGCGGCAGGCCUAACACAUGCAAGUCGAGCGAGCGGCGGCCGGGUGAGUAAUGUCUGGGAAACUGCCUGAUGGAGGGGGAUAACUACUGGAAACGGUAGCUAAUACCGCAUACCAUCAGAUGUGCCCAGAUGGGAUUAGCUAGUAGGUGGGGGAACGGCUCACCUAGGCGACGAUCCCUAGCUGGUCUGAGAGGAUGACCAGGCACACGGGAACUGAGAAACUGUCCAGACUCCUACGGGAGGCAGCAGUGGGGAAUAUUGCACAAUGGGCGCAAGCCUUAUGCAGCCAGGCCGCUUGUGUGAAGAAGGCCUUCGGGUUGUAAAGCACUUUCAGCGGGGAGGCGUUAACCGCAGAAGAAGCACCGGCUAACUCCGUGCCAGCAGCCGCGGUAAUUC